AUUUAUGUAGUUUAUAUAAAACAUUACAUUUUCACUGUAAAAAUAAUAGAAAUAUUCCUAAAUA
rnacentral:tRNA from 3 species